GUGUCAGCCGCCGCGGUAAAACGUAGGUGGCAAGCGUUAUCCGGAUUUACUGGGCGUAAAGCGUGUGCAGGCGGUUUGUCAAGUGGUGUAUGAAAUCGCUCGGCUCAACCGGGCGCGGUUAUGCCAGACUGACAGACUGGAGUCUGAAAGAGGGUGGUGGAAUUCCGGGUGUAGUGGUGAAAUGCGUAGAGAUCCGGAGGAACCCCAGAGGCGAAGGCGGCCACCUGGUUCAGGACUGACGCUCAGACACGACAGCAUGGGGAGCGAACGGGAUUAGAAACCCCGGUAGUCCAUGCCGUAAACGAUGUCAACUAGGCGCUGGCGGUCUCAACCCCGUCGGUGCCGCAGAUAACUCGCUAAGUUGACCGCCUGGGGAGUACGGCCGCAAGGCUAAA
rnacentral:rRNA from 1 species